ACGUUAUAAAUAUUGUGUAAUAUAUUUGGCUUCCAACUAAAAAACCUUGGUAACUAAACCAAGAUAACGUA
rnacentral:tRNA from 1 species